rnacentral:rRNA from 1 species
AACCCCAGUCAAUAAACUUACGGCGUAAAACGUGUUUAAGGAACCUAUUCAUAAAGUCAAACUUUAGCUACGCCGUAAAAAGCUCCAGCUACUGUAAGCCCCAGCACGAAAGUAACUUUAAUAUACCUGAACACACGACAGCUAAGGCCCAAACUGGGAUUAGAUACCCCACUAUGCUUAGCCAUAAACCUAAAAAGCCUCCCCCAACAAGGCCUUUCGCCAGAGUACUACUAGCCAAAGCUUAAAACUCAAGGGACUUGGCGGUGCUUUACAUCCCCCUAGAGGAGCCUGUUCUAUAAUCGAUAAACCCCGAUAAACCUCACCAACCCUUGCCAACU